AGGAAGGUGCUAGGUCCUGUCCAGUUCCCUGGCAGUCCCCCCACACAGAGUGACUGGGGGAGGUCAGGAAAUCAGAAGGUGGUCCUUUGCCACGUGUAGAACCAAAAGACUGGUUAGUCACUUUGGGUGGGCUGGACUGCACUGUGGAUGGCAGGGAGGAUGCAUCCUUGCUUAGUAGCCUUUUGGAUUGUAGCUGUUGCAAUGGCCUGAGGCUUUCAAUCUCUUCCCCAGACCAAGAUACUUGGUAGUGACCGGGUGAAGCUGAUGGAGAGUCUAGUGGUUGGAGACAUUGCAGAGCUAAGACCAAACCAGGGGACACUGUCGCUGUUUACCAACGAGGCUGGAGGCAUCUUAGAUGACUUGAUUGUAACCAAUACUUCUGAGGGCCACCUGUAUGUGGUGUCCAACGCUGGCUGCUGGGAGAAAGAUUUGGCCCUCAUGCAGGUAUACCCCCUCUGUGU
rnacentral:lncRNA from 1 species